rnacentral:lncRNA from 1 species
UCAGGGCCGUAACUAGCCUCUUUAAAUAGUGAGGCAAAAUAUAUUUGCCGAGUGGAGCGAGGCGAAAAUUUUUUGGCGAGGGUCGCUUAUUUAAUGUCCCCCAGAAGCUCCGAGAUAAUAAACGCAAAAUCGUGCAUUCUGAGCGUUUCCCGGACUCUUUCUUACAUUAAAACGACUAACGCAAUUAAUGUUUAGCUAUAUUUUCGACAAUAUUCUGGUCUCAAAGCAAAAACAUAGAUUCAUUGUAAUUUAAGACUGUUAGGUUUUAGAGACAAUAUUAAAAGACCAAUAUGUAUGAUAAAACAAAAAUCGUAAUUCUCAUAAUCAUUAAUAUCGGAUCUGUCUGUUCUUGUCUUGUAUUUUGCUUAGACUUUGGUGAUAUCUUUCAUGACUAUAGAUAUAAUAUAGUGAUAGUGCAGUAUUGUACUUUAAGUACUAGUACCGCUUAAGUCGAAACUAUAGGGACCAUCUUGAUCUUGUAUUAAUAACGUAUGAUUCUUUUUUUUGU